rnacentral:rRNA from 1 species
GAAUCUUCCACAAUGGGCGCAAGCCUGAUGGAGCAACACCGCGUGAGUGAAGAAGGGUUUCGGCUCGUAAAGCUCUGUUGUUGAAGAAGAAUGUGCAAGAGAGUAACUGUUCUUGUAUUGACGGUAUUCAACCAGAAAGUCACGGCUAACUACGUGCCAGCAGCCGCGGGAAUACGUAGGUGGCAAGCGUUAUCCGGAUUUAUUGGGCGUAAAGCGAGCGCAGGCGGUUUUCUAAGUCUGAUGUGAAAGCCUUCGGCUUAACCGAAGAAGUGCAUCGGAAACUGGAUGACUUGAGUGCAGAAGAGGGCAGUGUAACUCCAUGUGUAGCGGUGGAAUGCGUAGAUAUAUGGAAGAACACCAGUGACGAAGGCGGCUGCCUGGUCUGUAACUGACGCUGAGGCUCGAAAGCAUGGGUAGCGAAC